CCCUACGGGCGCAGCAGUGAGGAAUAUUGGUCAAUGGGCUUACGCCUGAACCAGCCAAGUCGCGUGAGGGAAGACUGCCCUAUGGGUUGUAAACCUCUUUUGUCAGGGAGCAAUUGGCGCUACGUGUAGCGUUAUCGAGAGUACCUGAAGAAAAAGCAUCGGCUAACUCCGUGCCAGCAGCCGCGGUAAUACGGAGGAUGCGAGCGUUAUCCGGAUUUAUUGGGUUUAAAGGGUGCGUAGGCGGAAUGCCAAGUCAGCGGUAAAAUCGCGGGGCUCAACCUAGCUCCGCCGUUGAAACUGGCGUU
rnacentral:rRNA from 1 species